AGCUUGUCUGCAUGGUUCAGCCACCAGCCAAAUGAGGAAAGGCAGUUUGGCCCUUCCUUCUCACUAGAUGCGGUCCAUGUGGACCCAGUGAUCCAGGAGAGCUCCCUGGAGGAGAUUUUGAAGCCCUCGCCUGACCUGGCCAUCCAGCACCAGCUCCAGCAGCCCUGCAGCCGGGUAAUCAGCCUCCAGAACCUCUUUGAUGUGGAUGCCUGUGGGCGGCAGGUGAAGACUGUGGUGCUGUUUGGCACUGUGGGCACGGGGAAGAGCACCCUCAUCAAAAAGAUGGUGGUAGACUGGUGCCAUGGGCGCCUGCCCCGCUUUGAGCUGGUCAUCCCCUUCUCCUGUGAGGAUCUGUCCCAGAGUCAUACUCCCAUCUCCCUGCGGCGCCUCAUCACCAAGAAGUACCAGCACCUCCGGGACGUGGUGCCAACGCUGGGCACUUCCAACCUCAGGAUGCUUUUCAUCCUCAAUGGCCUGGAGCGCCUCAACUUGGACUUCCGGCUGGCUGGCACAGAGCUGUGCUGUGACCCCAAUGAGCCUGUGCCUCCCCCUGCCAUCGUGGUCAACCUGCUGCGCAAGUACCUCCUGCCAGAGGUCAGUGUCUCUGUUUUCCUCCAGCUCCUUUGCGCUGGAGAAAGGCUGGGGGUGAGCCCUGGGGCGCUGCAGGCAGGGGCCCUUGCCCUUAUGCUAAUUGCUCGUAGCCCAGCUUGGCUGCAAGUGAACAGGCGUCCUUCAUCCCUGGAGUGACUUGCCAAGGUGUCCUCAUGUCACUGUUGCUGGUUUGUCUCUGUGGAGCCUUUGGGGCAAGCCUGGAAAGACAAAGAAAGCAAUAUUUGGCAAUCUGCCUGCCUGGCUAAGGCCUUCUAGACUCUGUUUAUGUCUAGCACUGGAUGAGGAAAGAUCUUUUGUCCCCUCCGACUGGGGCAGGUUUGAACCAAAGUCCUGUGGUCAGCAGCUCCUUG